AUCCGGAUUUACUGGGCGUAAAGCGUCUGUAGGCGGAUGUGUAAGUUGGGCGUGAAAGCUCCGGGCUUAACCCGGAGAGGCCGGUUCAAUACUGCAUAACUUGAGGGUGUCAGAGGGGAGCGGAAUUCCCGGUGUAGCGGUAAAAUGCGCAGAGAUCGGGAGGAACACCAGUGGCGGAGNCGGUUCCCUGGGGCACACCUGACGCUGAGAGACGAAAGCUAGGGGAGCGAACAGGAUUAGAGACCCUGGUAGUCCUAGCCCUAAACGAUGAAUGCUAGGUGUGGGAUCGAAUGGUUCCGUGCCGGAGCGAACGCGAUAAGCAUUCCGCCUGGGGAGUACGGCCGCAAGGUUAAAACUCAAACGAAUUGACGGGGCCCCGCACAAGCAGCGGAGCGUGUGGUUUAAUUCGAUGCUACACGAAGAACCUUACCUGGGUUUGACAUGUAGGUGGUAGUGAAUCGAAAGGUGAACGACCCUUCGGGGAGCCUACACAGGUGCUGCAUGGCUGUCGUCAGCUCGUGCCGUGAGGUGUCGGGUUAAGUCCCGUAACGAGCGCAACCCUUGCUCCUAGUUACAAGUGUCUAGGGGGACUGCCGGCGGAAAGCCGGAGGAAGGUGGGGAUGACGUCAUGUCAGCAUGGCCCUUAUAUCCAGGGCUACACACACGCUACAAUGGUCGGUACAAAGGGCAGCGAAACCGCGAGGCGGAGCGAAUCCGAGAGAAGCCGAUCGUAGUUCGGAUAGCAGGCUGCAACCCGCCUGCUUGAAGCUGGAGUUGCUAGUAACCGCGCGUCAGCCAUAGCGCGGUGAUACGUUCCCGGGGCUUGUACACACCGCCCGUCACGUCAUGGGAGUCGGUAACGCCUGAAGCCGGUAGUCUAAC
rnacentral:rRNA from 1 species